rnacentral:lncRNA from 1 species
AAUCUCAUGUUUUAUGCAUGUUUCAAGGCAAUCAAAAUAUGCUGAGUAGAAGAACAAUGCUUCAAUGAAACGGUUCACCAAGGAGGGUGAGUUAUGGUUUGCUUCUACUUCAAGGACUAUCAUUAUAACUGGUUUGAUAUUUCUUAUAAUCCUCAUCAAGUUCUCCAUGCAAUCAGGCCUUGAUACCAUGCUCCUUAGAAAAUAUGGAGAGUAAACAGCCACAGCUUCAUCCUCUCCAAUUUCGAAAUGAUCUUUCCUUAUUUCGGCAAUGUCGGCCACAAAAACUGCAUUAUAUGAAAAGGGUAAGUUCAAGGAUUCAGCAAAACUAGUUAAACUUUUGCCAGUCUCUUCUAUCUUGAUUUUCAAUGAGUUAAGUCCAAUGGCAGUUAUCUUCAAAAGUUGCACUAUGCAAUCCCGGCGUUCAGACA